rnacentral:rRNA from 1 species
CACGUAGGGCGCAAGCGUUGUCCGGAAUUAUUGGGCGUAAAGAGCUCGUAGGCGGUCUGUUGCGUCCGCUGUGAAAACUCGGGGCUUAACCCCGAGCCUGCAGUGGAUACGGGCAGACUAGAGGUAGGUAGGGGAGAAUGGAAUUCCCGGUGUAGCGGUGAAAUGCGCAGAUAUCGGGAGGAACACCGGAUGGCGAAGGCGUAGGUCGUCCUGGGCCACUACUGAGCGCAUGAGAAGG